UGAGGCAGUCCAACAGCAGAAGUAUUUCAGGAUGUGGGCUAAAGAGCAGAGUGAGAUGAUACAGGAGAGACUCCAAACCAAGAGAAGCACACGGAGGAUUCAGCACUGAAAACCAAGCCCAGGCAGAGCUCACAGACACAGGAGACUUGCAAGGAGUGGAUCUGGCUGGGAGCAGAGGCAUUGCUUGUACUCCUGUCUCAAAGUGCUGGGUGACAGGGCACAUCAGGAACGCCUAGACAAACCCUAGCACAAGAAGCCCAGGGAAUCCACCCUGAAAAUACUUAAAGCUAGCCACACCAUCCAAGAGAAGGGCUUCUAUAAAGGUCUGGAAGCAUCCAUGAAGAUUAUAUUUGCUUCCUUCUUAAACAUUGCCAUCUGAGAAGUCUGCCUUGCAGCUAGAAACCAGGAUAUUCGUGGGAGCUGAAUGGGAAAGAUAAUUUAUAUAUAUAUAUAUUUUUUUUUUCAAAAGUUGUUACCACUUCAUAGGGGCAAGCCUGUUGAAGAUCCACAAGCAAUCAGAUAAAGUGAAGGAUUUAGCAGAAAAUUGGAAGAACAAGACUCUUUUUGCAUCAGAUGAGGGGAAGCUGAGAACCUGGGAGAAGUGAAUUGAUGCCCCUGGAAAUCUGACCAGUGUUGGUGGUUAAAGAAUUGACACGAGAGACUGGAAGAGGACAGACCAAUUUUGAGAUAAUAAAAAUAAAUGUCUCUCUAAGACUCAUCAUGUUGAAGAAAGACUCACAUUUCUCUGCAGCCAGCAUUUGGAGGAGAGAGCUAUUUUUAGCCACAGAUACACUUCAGAUUCCAUUAACUAACUAAAACCAGGGGCUGCUUAGGAACAAUCCUUGAACACAGUCCAUUGUAAAAUUGCAAAAUAGAAAUGGGGAUGGGGUCAU